rnacentral:rRNA from 1 species
CUCCUACGGGGACGCAGCAGUGAGGAAUAUUGCCCAAUGGACGAAAGUCUGAGGCAGCAACGCCGCGUGAGCGAUGAAGGCCUUCGGGUUGUAAAGCUCUUUUCUGGGGGACGAGGAAGGACGGUACCUCAGGAAUAAGUCACGGCUAACUACGUGCCAGCAGCCGCGGUAAUACGUAGGUGGCGAGCGUUAUCCGGAUUUACUGGGCGUAAAGCGCGUGCAGGCGGUUUCGUAAGUCGGAUGUGAAAGCUCCUGGCUCAACUGGGAGAGGCCAUUCGAUACUGCGGGACUUGAGGUCGGGAGAGGGACGUGGAAUUCCCGGUGUCCCCGUCAAUUCAUAGAUAUUGGGCGGAACACCAGUAGCGACGGUGACGUCGUGGCCCGCACCUGACGCUAAGUCGCGAAAGUGUGGGUAGAGAACGGGUUUAGAUACCCCGGUAGUCCACGCUGUAAACGGUGGAUUCUAGGUGUUGGUGGCUA